rfam:Streptomyces sp. 769, complete genome.
CUUGAACGACCCCAGAUACAGCGGUCGGUCGGCGGGUCGGCCCUGGCCGUAGGUGGCCAACAGCGCCCGCGCCUC